AUCCAAAGCAAACACUACUUUCAAGCUUCUUUUUCAAGGUUCUUUACCUACCACAUUUAUAUCCAUCAUGUCUCCUUGCACCUGCAACUGCUGCUCUGGCGAGUGCAACUCCUGCUCUUGCUCCAGCUGCAAGGUAUGUCAUUGCUUGCU
rfam:Penicillium flavigenum strain IBT 14082 PENFLA_contig001, whole genome shotgun sequence.